rnacentral:lncRNA from 1 species
GGCCCUGAGCUCUGUGGGCCCCAGGUGCCCCGGGAAAACUUGGGGGAGAAUGGGCAUCCCACCCCAGCACUUUCUAGGAAGAAGGGCAGCAUUUUGAAGGGCUGGAAGUAGAGGAAGGAGGUUGCGGGUAGAAGACUCCAUACUUUCUGUGACGCCUAUUCCUUAGGUAGGAACUUAGGAACCUCAGCUUGUGAUGAAUGUUUUCUCAGUAUCCUAUGCUGAAAACAGGUAGAUACUAAUAUCGAUCUUCAAGGGAGGGCUGUUGAGUAUUGAAUAAGACAAAAACAUGGAAGCAAUCAGCACCAUGCUGGAGAGCCUUUAUAUAACCAAAGAUAUUUUUGGACCAUGAAUUCAGAAAUUCUCGGAGCCACCCAUCAGUGCCUGAGCUUCAGUGAGUCCAUAUCCCAUGUCACCCACGGCAAAGGAGACUCUAAGACUUCUGAAGAGUUUCUUGCUUCUUUCCUGUGGGGCAGUGACUCCACUUCCCAGCAGUAAUGGAAUAUCCUGAAUUAGCUACAUUAAUGUUAGAACCAUUUGGACCUCACCCAGGACUUCAACUACAUUAUGCUAAAGUUACAGAACCCAAAUUUGGCAACUGUCUGCAUCUGAACAACAGAAGUUUCAACAUUCUGCCAACAGAGUAACUCCUGGACGAUUGGCACAGAAGAAGGCACAAGGCAAAUACCCAUCUCUGUACACCCUGUGCUACUGUGUCAUGUGCUGCUCCAGGCAACUCCAAUGGAUUGGCCACCCUGGCCAAUGUGUUCUAGUAUGUUACGUUUAUGUUCCCCUGCUUUCUACAAUCCUGUUCAAAGAGUUGCUGACUUAACCACAGAGAGGAUUCCAGAACCUGAGACACAGAAUAAACUUGAGCAAUCAUAG